rnacentral:rRNA from 1 species
CUAGCUGUUCGACCAACAUUGGUUGGUUGAGUGGCUAAGCGAAAGUGAUAAGUAUCCCACCUGGGGAGUACGGUCGCAAGACUGAAACUCAAAGGAAUUGACGGGGGCCCGCACAAGCGGUGGAGCAUGUGGUUUAAUUCGAUGAUACGCGAGGAACCUUACCAGGGCUUAAAUGUAAGUUGCAUAGAUCAGAGAUGGUCUUUUCUUCGGACUACUUACAAGGUGCUGCAUGGUUGUCGUCAGCUCGUGCCGUGAGGUGUCAGGUUAAGUCCUAUAACGAGCGCAACCCCUGUCGUUAGUUACCAGCAAGUUAUGUUGGGUACUCUAACGAGACUGCCGGUGCAAACCGCGAGGAAGGUGGGGAUGACGUCAAAUCAUCACGGCCCUUACGUCCUGGGCUACACACGUGCUACAAUGGCCGGUACAGAGAGCAGCCACUACGCGAGUAGGAGCGAAUCUAUAAAACCGGUCUCAGUUCGGAUCGCAGUCUGCAACUCGACUGCGUGAAGCUGGAAUCGCUAGUAAUCGGAUAUCAGCCAUGAUCCGGUGAAUACGUUCCCGGGCCUUGUACACACCGCCCGUCAAGCCAUGGAAGCUGGGAGUACCUGAAGUCGGUUACCGCAAGGAGCUGCCUAGGGUAAAACUGGUAACUGGGGCU